CUUGCGCAAGUACCUCUGAUGAGUGGAAUCUGACACAGAACCCUGGCAAGAGAUUCUGGAAUCUUCUAGCACCUAGACUUCCAGCCUUCUCAGUACAGGGUAGAGUAGCUAAAAUGGAGAAGGGUGGUUAGCUGCCAAUAGACGAUCUGGCAUAGCUGUCCUGGAAGUAAGAGGAACCAACUCCAACGCCUCCAACCCAAGAGUAGUUCAAAGAAAACUUUCUUGACCUUCAAGGUCUUAAAAUAAAAGCCCUUUGCUUAGAUCUCAGACAGGAAAUAGGGUGUCCCUUCCCAUCCUCCUUCCCUCCUAUGAGGGCAGCGGUAAACUUAUGGUCAGAGCUUCCACAGCUGUUGGGCUGUCUCCUGCAGAAAAGAGUGGAGUAAAGACAGAUGUCUUCUGUGGACCCACCCCAGCCAUUCAGUCACCACAGGGUCACUUACAACAGCUCAGGACUUGAAUGGAAGAGCAAGCCUUAACAUAGGCACUGCCAUCAGGCCCAUUUGAGAAAACGGAGACUCACAAUUUGCCCACGACCCCACAGCAGGCAAGCAGAAGAGCCGCUUCAGACAUUUCACUGAUCUUCUAGUUUGUACAACAGGACUUGUGAUUCUUUUCACUUCCCCACGUACAUUUGCCUGACAGCGGGCUUUCCGACGCAGAAGACAAUGGGAGAUUCGUUCACCAACACUUUCCGAGCUCCAGGAAGCAGACAAGAACCGAGCCUCCAUCCAGCUGAGGAUGACUCAUUCCUGGAGCAGAUAACGCAUUUCUGAGGCCCAGAACUUCACUACAUCAAAUCUUUUGAAAACCUGUUUAUUGGUGUUCUUAAAGACGAGAACAUGACGAGCUUUCGUAAUCCUUCACCUCAAGGUUGAGUGAUGGAAUACUAGAGAUGUUUUGGAGCUCCUUUGCUUACUGCAAAGCAUGCAAAGAGGAAUGGGUGGGCGGAUAAUAAAAAUAACAAUACUAACAUUAGCUGCAAGUACUGAGCGCUUAAUAAAUGGUAGUGAAUGUUGGACAUUUGUCUAAGUGAUUGGCGUCCCUUAUCUCGUUCAAUCCACGUAUAGAACCUUAUGAGGUGGGCAUGACUCUCCAUUCGGAUGAGGAAACGGAGAAUCAGAAAAUGUAGGUAACUUACAGGAAAGUGGCAGAGACAAGAUUGGAACUCAGGUCCAACUCCACGAUGGCGCUGCUGACAAAUGACACCCCCAUUCCUUCCAGGAUGAGUAGAGAAGGCACACGCUGAACUUGGAUGCCGAUUUGUGACAACACAGCCCUCCUGCCCAUGCAUCCCCGGGCAUAUGUGGUUUCAAGUGGACAGAGGUGCCGCCCCUCUUGAAACGCACAUGACAACCUGCCAGUUCCAUCCCACU